UGGACAGCUCAGUCGGUAGAGCGUAAGGCUGUUUAAUCUCAAAGGUCGUGGGUUCGAGUCCCAUGCUGGGCGAAA